CCUACGGGUGGCAGCAGUGGGGAAUAUUGCACAAUGGGGGAAACCCUGAUGCAGCGACGCCGCGUGAGUGAGGAAGUAUUACGGUAUGUAAAGCUCUAUCAGCAGGGAAGAAAAUGACGGUACCUGACUAAGAAGCCGCGGGUAACUACGUGCCAGCAGCCGCGGGAAUACGUAGGGGGGAAGCGUUAUCCGGAUUUACUGGGUGUAAAGGGAGAGUAGACGGAUAAGCAAGUCAGAAGUUAAAACCAAGGGCUCAACCUUGGGACUGCUGUUGAAACUGAGAGGCUAGAGUGCGGGAGAGGGAGGCGGAAUUCCUGGUGUAGCGGUGAAAUGCGUAGAUAUUGGGAGGAACACCGGUGGCGAAGGCGGCUUACUGGACUGAAACUGACGUUGAGGCUCGAAAGCGUGGGGAGCGAACAGGAUUAGAUACCCUAGUAGUC
rnacentral:rRNA from 1 species